UGCCAGCAGCCGCGGUAAUACGUAGGGUGCAAGCGUUAAUCGGAAUUACUGGGCGUAAAGCGUGCGCAGGCGGUUUUGUAAGACAGAUGUGAAAUCCCCGGGCUCAACCUGGGACCUGCAUUUGUGACUGCAAAGCUAGAGUACGGCAGAGGGGGAUGGAAUUCCGCGUGUAGCAGUGAAAUGCGUAGAUAUGCGGAGGAACACCGAUGGCGAAGGCAAUCCCCUGGGCCUGUACUGACGCUCAUGCACGAAAGCGUGGGGAGCAAACAGGAUUAGAUACCCUGGUAGUCCACGCCCUAAACGAUGUCAACUGGUUGUUGGGUCUUCACUGACUCAGUAACGAAGCUAACGCGUGAAGUUGACCGCCUGGGGAGUACGGCCGCAAGGUUGAAACUCAAAGAAAUUGACGG
rnacentral:rRNA from 1 species